ensembl:lncRNA
GGGCUGGAGAGGGGGCAGAGACUUGGAGAGGGGGGCAGAGACUUGGAGAGGGGCAGAUCCCCCCCCUCGCUUCGAAUCUUUAUCCCAGAACAGGAGGAGAGCGGAUCCAUAAAACCCAGUGCCAUUACUAACAGGGCAGCCCCAUUACAACGGGGCACCUUCACACACACACACACACACUAGCGGUAGCCUCCAUUCGUCCUCAGCAGAUACACACACACAUAUACUCACACACAAAUGUACUCACACACACACACACACACAAAUAUACUCACUCACACACACACACACAUAUAUUCACACACAGACACACACUCAAACACAAACACACGCACACAUAAACGCACUCACAUACACACCCAUGGGAUGCUACAGUAUCCUUGAGCUGAACCCUUCCCACACACACACACACACACACACACACACACACACACUGCUGUGGUGCAGCUGAACACAGACAGGCGAUAUUUCACAGAAGUCGCAGCUCUGCUCCAACUCAAUUUCCAGAGCUUCUGAGGGUCACCGUGGUGACGCCGCUGAUAUAUGCACUCACGCUCACCCGCUCUUUUCUUUACAUUUCUACAGUCGUCACGGCUUCAAAUUAAUGUUUCAUUUCUACUGUGUCAUUUACAGUGUAAAACUGUGUUGGUUUUGAGCAUCUUAGUUAUAUUUUAAAGGUUUUACUUACACUAAGGUGUGUGUGUGUGUGUGUGUGUGUGUGUGUGAGAGAGAGAGUGUGUAAGCCAGAAUAUACUGGAAAGCAACAUUUGUCCAAAUACACUGCAGCUUAAAUAUAUUGCGACUAAUAGCAUGUCCUUAGCAGAGAUUUCAGUAUGUACUCCCGCCGAUCAAAUAUGCUGUAAAAAUAGAACCCGUUAGAAGUCCUCUGCUUUUUUUUUUUUUUUUUUUAAAGCUUACACUGAAGUUGUCUUUGUUUUUUCUUUAAUUCCUGUCAAAUGCUGAAUGUCUGUGAGUCGUUCGUGUCCCAGAUUUGUGCCAAACCGGAAUGUGUCUGUGAGAGAAGGGUGACUUUGUAUACAAAUUUUAUAAACAAAAGAAUUGCAUGAAGCAAUAUGUGUAAGAUGCACUGAAAUGGCCUUCAUUGUGGGGACAUCAGAGAGUUGGCUUCUGCAACACGCUGGAGUUGAGACACUUGAUACCAAGACAGCAGCUCCGUCAUGAUACACACACACAUACAUCUGUGCUGUCAGAGUCCUGUCAUCCUUAUCCAUAUGCACCACCCAAGCAUUCAGAAAGGACGCCAUGUCGUUAUGAGCCGACGUUCUCGUGUUCUCCAGCUCCAGAAAUAUCAAUCCAGCCAGAAGUAUCCCAGGACUUGCAUGCCAUCCAGUCUUCUUCUUCUUCUUCUUCUUCAACCAAACCAAACCAAAAACAAAACAGUCAUCUUGGACGUAGUCAGUGGUUUAAUCUGGUUACUUGCUUUCAUAGCAUUACCUGUAGUAGGUUCAUCUGUAAUAACAGUACAGUGCGUGCAGUGGACAACUCCAGAUAUAUUACAUAAAGGAGUUUUUUGUCUGAAACUAGCAAGAUAUAUUGUCACUUUACAUCCAGGCCAAAUUAAACUCCAAUGCUAGACAUAUUUCCCUGUCCCUGGCUGUCUGAUCCUCACAUCUUGAAAGACUCUCCUCAGUACACAAAAUGGCGGCAGCACUGGAGCCAUUAAGAGACUCAAGUUUGUACGUUUGGCCUUUUGCACAACUGGUGGUGCUGCUGUCUUGGCAUGCGUGUCUCAGGUGUGGCUCAUGGGGUGGAUGCCUGCGGUAGCUGGAGCUGAGCGGGCAGGCUUGGGGUGGAUGAGGAUGUGUGUAUUAUACUCGUGUGUGUCAUGAGGAUGUGUGUAUUAUACUCGUGUGUGUCAUGAGGAUGUGUGUAUUAUAUUUGUGUAUCAGUGCCAAUGGAGCCGCGUCAUGCUGCAGCGGGAGAAAUCCUCAGCAGUCUAAAAGGACUUUACUUUUUUAUACCUGAGAGUACGGACAUUUUCACCUGAGAAGCGUUUACAUCCAAACAUAAUCCAGCUCUGAAAUACCCUUCAGCCCAUUCACAGUCAACAGAUCAACACACCUUUACCCUUUACCCUUCAGCCCAUUCACAGUCAACAGAUCAACGCACUUCACCUUGAGUGUCUUAACAUUCAGCUAAAAUCCGACAUGAACGUGAACAAGCACUUGGCCACCACUUCAAUAGGCUGUAGGUUUGCUGUUAUGUGAGAACAUCUGCUUGUUGUGACUUCAUGUUCAAUCACACAGGGAAUGGGACCUGCUUCAGUCAGGCAGCCCAUGGUCUGUUCCUGUCCGCCCGCAGUCUGACUGUGCUGACGCUGGAUGACACGGCUUGCUGCUUGUUCAUGUUAAAAGCCCAGGUUAUUCGGUCAGUGCUGAUAUCUAAUGGGUUAGUCAUCAUUAACUAACAGAUGAUUCAUAAAGUGUAUCAAAGGCAAAGCACAUGGUCCUAUCUGUAGAUGACAUAGUCUCUGUACGAGCCUGGAUGUAUACCUAGAAGUCAAAAUAAAAAUGUUGAACAAACUUGGCUUGAGAGUCGUGUGAUGUCUUUUCUGCAUUUGCAUUUGUGGAUAGAUAGCCAUCAGAGACGGUUUUUAAAAGGACCGCAUAAAACAACAGAAGACCAACAGCACAGCUUUCUCUUGGUGAAGUAGUUUAUAGACUUUCAGGAGCUACUCUCGUUGUCUUUUCCCCAAAUCUACUCUCGUUGUCUUUUCCCCAAAUCUACUCUUGUUUUCUUUUCCCCAAAGCUACUCUCGUUGUCUUUUCCCCAAAGCUACUCUCGUUGUCUUUCCCCAAAGCACUGACCAGAGAUGGCUGAUAGGUCUGCACAUUGAGAACGCAGCGGAGCUCCUCAGCACACUGCUGCUCAGUUGUCCUGCUUUAGCGGAGUCAGGACAGAGCUGUCCAUCUCUGUGUUCUUUAGCGGAGUGAGGACAGGGCUGUCUAUCUCUGUGUUCUCUGGUUAGUCAGGACAGGGCUGUCUAUCUCUGUGUUCUCUGGUUAGUCAGGACAGGGCUGUCUAUCUCUGUGUUCUCUGGUUAGUCAGGACAGAGCUGUCCAUCUCUGUGUUCUUUAGCGGAGUCAGGACAGAGCCGUCCAUCUCUGUGUUCUCUGGUUAGUCAGCAGAGCACUGCUCAGACCUGCCAGCGAGGCCAUUGCUAUGAGAUACAGCACGGAACAGCUGCAAGCGACAUCAUAUCCUCUUCAUGGUCUCCUAGACGACACACCUAAGCACUGAGGACAAAGUUGUUCAGUUGAGAGAAGGGAGGGGAGGGGAGGGGA